CCAGUGACCUCAGGCCGACUUGUGUUGGAGGCUCUCGGUAGUCCAUAGAUUAGAUUUCCCUACUGUAGAUCAAAGGUGGGUAAAGCCUCAGCUCUACUGGGGAGUCUCCAGCAGCACUGCUCCUGGGACCUGGCAUCAAGUUUGCAUCGGGAUUCUAAUGGAUUUGGAGGUCCUCCCCUGGUGCUGAGGAAUGCUGAAUGAAUGAAGUGGUCCAGCACUGUGGUUCCUGCAAGAAUGAGCCCUGGGUACCGACUUUUCUAGAGUGUAUGUCCUGAGACAUGCUGAGACAUCAGAGCCGGUUUAUCACGGCAGCUCAGAGCUCAGGCUCUGAAGCCAAACCUGCCUGGGUUCACGUCCACACUCCAUUUCACAAGCUGUGAGGCAGCAGACAAAGACCCAAGUGAUGAGGGGCCUUUUGGUUCUGACAAAAUAAGGUAUUUACUCAGAAAUUACAAUGAAUCUACAAACGGAUAGUUUAAUCCUUAUAUCAAGAGACUAAAUUAAAGCUUCCUCGGAUUCCAGAAUAACAAAGUUGCGUGCCUCAGUAUCCCCAUGUAUGGAACAAGUCAUGCUAGUGACUGGUUGCUGUGAGGAUUAGUCACUCCAUGUAAGGUGCUGGUCAAAAACGGCCACUGUUUCCAUCAGCAUCCAUCCUCCUGCUGCUCCACAGC